rnacentral:lncRNA from 1 species
CCUCCGCUUCGGUCUCGUGGCUUCUGGAGUCUUCUAGAUGUAAGAUAAUUGCGUGGCACGUUAAUAUCUUUAUGUAAUCCCGACGUGUGGGCCUUUCUUUUGUAUUUCCUGAUAACCCCCUGCAGAAAUAGACAAACACCAAAACUCGUGGAAUUCUGUCAGAUAAAACCCUAAGUCUAGAUGUUGAUUUCAUUUGGAUCCUUUUCUUUGUUUAUUUGAUAAUUAAAUUCGCGU